rnacentral:rRNA from 1 species
GAGUUUGAUCCUGGCUCAAGAUGAACGCUGGCGGCGUGCUUGACACAUGCAAGUCGAACGAAGCACUUAAGACAGAUUACUUCGAGUUUGAAGUCCUAUUUGACUGUAUGGCGGACGGGUGAGUAACGCGUGGGUAACCUGCCUCAUACAAGGGGAUAACAGUUAGAAAUGACUGCUAAUACCGCAUAAGCGCACAGUCUCGCNUGGNACAGUGUGAAAAACUCUGGUGGUGUGAGAUGGACCCGCGUCUGAUUAGCUAGUUGGUGAGGUAACGGCUCACCAAAGGAACGAUCAGUAGCCGAGCUGAGAGGGUGAUACGCCACAUUGGGACUGAAACACGGCCCAANCUCCUACGGAGAGCNGCAGUGGAGAAUAUUGCACAAUGGGAGGAACCCUGAUG